rnacentral:lncRNA from 1 species
GUUCUGUGCAGCUGGGGCAGGUUGUGUUGCUAGGAGAACAAUGACUCUUGCUUCCAGCAAGAGAGGUGACUCUGGCAGCAUUACCAGGGGCACACAGGUGGGCGUUGCUUUUCAUUCCCCAGCAAGAACAGACUCCUCCCCAGAGGAGCCCAGCUGGCCAAGCUGACGGGUGGGCCCAGCACUGUCCCGCUCCAAGACCACCUUCUUCCUCCUGCAGCUGCCAUUCUGGCGAGACAGGACAUUAUCUGCUGCAGGAUUUGAAGCAAAACCUGUGGAAUAUUGCUCUGGGCCUGUUUUCUAAGAGAAUGCCCAGAGGAGUAUAAAUUCAAAUUCCCGCCAGAGAAGCCUCUGCUUCAGGAGUAGGUAGCAGAAAAAAUACUGUAUGUUUGUCACUCAGAUUUUAUUUCCCCCUUAUCUACCUGGAAAAGCCAAUUUCUGAACUUUGGCCACAGUAAGGUGGGGCCAUGGGACUGAGCUUCUGGCCUUGGGAAAGUGGGCUAAAGGACAGACCUGCCAUGCGAUCCUCCGUGCUCCCUGUCUGCCAGCUGGACACAGACGACUGGGGAGGGGGCAGAACUCCCUGGACCAUGAGAUGGUACAGUAGGGGGAUGGAGCCUGGAUGCCAAUGGCUUUGUGACAUGAACAGCCCUGCCCUGGACCCGUAUGGGUCUAUGAGUGAGAAGCCAGCCUUGUUUGAGUUGAGCUACUGGGCUACUGAGCAUAGGGCUGCUUUUAACAGGCUGCUUUGGUUAAUAAGGGCAUGCAUGAGGGGCGUGAUGAGAUCAUUUUCAAGGGUAGUGGGGGGUGAUGGUGGGAUUCGGCAGGGGUGUUUCCCUGAGGAGGUGGACAGGAGGCUCCUGGGCAGGAGUGGGGUGUAAUAUGUUACCAUAAACUGAGGAAAGGGAGCCAGUGUGUGUGCACAUGUACGUGUGUGUGUGUGUGUGUGUGUGUGUGGGGUCAGGCCAAACAGCUCUGUGCAGCCCUUUCUAAACUGAAAUUAAUGAAUAAAGGUUAAUUUUUUUGUGCAC